rnacentral:lncRNA from 1 species
CCCGACCAUGCGUAUCUGUAUUUUUAGAAGACUAAUAAUCCUUUCAUCUUUUGGUUCCCUCGUAUCAUGUGAAUUAACAUUUACAAAUAUUCAAUGUGCUUUAGCUAUAAAGUCCUAUCACUAGAUGACUAAGAAUAUAUACGUGGAUGUAAAGGUAAACUACAUUUAGGGGUUGGACUAAUAGUAAUGGUAGUAGUGCUGCUUGUAUAAAAGGCAAUGGUUGGCACUGCUAAACUAUUACCUAUUACGUAUUAUAGAAAAUUAAAUAAAUUUGAAUUUUAGAAUUUCACAAACGGAUUUUAAAAUUAUUUUUAUGGAAGGAAGCCAGGAAGGGGUGUACGCAAAAUUAUCCUUAGUUUCUUUUUACUUAUCUUGCACCACAAUAAUAAUUAAUUAUAUUGAAGAGAAAAACAAAUAUGAGCCCAAAAUAUUAGAUAUCUUCAUUAUGAUCUAAUAGCCCUAGAUGUAGGAGAAACGAAAUUAGUGCAUGUAAAAUAAAACGAUGUACAUUUACUGAAUUUGGACAACUUGCAUCCAUGGAAUUCUGAAUAAUUUGGUUUCUAAAUUAAACUGUAAGAGACUCGGAUUGAAUUUGAAACCCAAGCAUUAAAACUGAAUUGCAAAUAUGUUGUGGAUCUUGAAAUCAUAAAUUCUAAUUUCCAGUUUGAAUUGAAGUAGACCAAUAUGGAUCUUAUUAAAGGAGAAUAUAUAAUUAUAUCAUCAAACAAAUCCAAACCAAAAGCAAUAAAUAAAGUAAACAAGAAAACUCAAAGUACAUACACACAUAAUUUUGCAAGGAAUGUAAAUCUAGAGAGAAAGGAAACCUUCCUUGAUAAAAAGAGCAAACAUGAGAACAAAGAGGCCAAGGGUGAUGCAUUGUGUUGGAGACACCACUGUUUGUUGGUAUGCACAGAGUGUUAGUGUUGCACCCACCAAUCCAAUCAACAACGAACUCCAAUUCUUAUUCAUUUUUAGAUCAAACAAUGAAUACCUAUGAGCUAUGGCCUAUGGAUGGACGGACACUCUUCUUAAUUUUGAGUCUGGUUAUGUUUAUGGUCGCCGUCGGAGCUAGCUAAUCAAUCACAGCUAGCAGUGAGGUGAGGUCAACUCUUGGAGGGGAUUAUUU